GUCCUUGCCAAUGACAACUUCAGAUAUGGUUACAAUGCCGCAACAGGGAAGUAUGAGGACUUGAUGACUGCUGGUAUUAUUGAUCCCACUAAGGUGGUGAGAUGCUGCUUGGAGCAUGCUGCAUCAGUGGCGAAAACAUUCAUCACGUCAGAUGCCGUUGUGGUUGACAUCAAGGAGCCUGAGAAAGCAGCAGCUGCUGCUGGGAACCCAAUGGGUGGAUCAGGUUUUGGAUUUUAGUUUAGAAGAGGAGUGAGUACACCCGUUGGCAAUUGGCAACCAUAUUUACAGCGGAGGCAGGCAGAAAUCUACCG